GGCCUACUAGCUCAGUAGGUUAGAGCGUGGUGUUGAUAACGCCAAGGUCGCAAGUUCGAGACUUGCGUGGGCCA